UGCGUUAUGUGUGUGCCGCACUCUCUGAGUCUUCUACAGGACUCAAAGAUCUAAGAAAACACUUAUUACGCUUUGCCAAGGAUUUUCUUUUUCGCUUUUGUUUACAUUUUAUUUUAAUUUUGGAACGCGAAAGAGUUUAUUUGGAGCACGGCUUUUCUAGUUCUGUUUUUGUUUUUUUUUUUUGUUUCCUCAUACCCACACCAUUUUUUGUUUUGUUUUUAUUUUAUUUUUGCAGUAAUUAUUUUGCCAGCACUUUUGCCAUCUCAUAGUUUCACCUGGAACCAUUUGCCGCAAAGGAAAGCAAAGCAAAAAAGAAAUAGUUUGAAAGAAAUUUUCCGAUCUUGAAAUUAACUUCUUUCCUCCGGCAAUUGGAGCAUCUCCAGUUUUCUUCCUCUUUUUUUUUUUUUUUUUUUUUUUUUUUGUGCAAAUUCUUCAUCUCUGCCAAGCCAGCAGUUGUUUCGGUGCAAGUGGCAAAGAACUGGUCCGGGUGGAUUUAUUUUUCUACCCUGAACGGCGUGCCAAAUUUAUGAUGAGAGUGCAAAAUGGAUGAAUUUCAUCCCUUCAUCGAGGCUUUACUGCCACAUGUCCGCGCCUUCUCCUACACCUGGUUCAACCUGCAGGCCCGCAAGCGCAAGUACUUCAAGAAGCACGAGAAGCGCAUGACAAAGGACGAGGAGCGCGCCGUCAAAGAUGAACUGCUGGGCGAGAAGCCCGAGAUCAAGCAGAAGUGGGCGUCCCGACUGCUCGCCAAGCUCCGCAAAGACAUCCGCCCGGAGUUCCGCGAGGAUUUCGUGCUCACCAUCACAGGAAAGAAGCCGCCGUGUUGCGUGCUGUCCAACCCCGACCAGAAGGGCAAGAUCCGCCGCAUCGACUGCCUGCGGCAGGCAGACAAAGUCUGGCGUUUGGACCUGGUCAUGGUGAUUCUCUUCAAAGGAAGUCCGCUGGAGAGCACGGACGGAGAGAGACUGGUCAAAUCCCCGCAAUGUUCCAAUCAUGGCCUGUGCGUACAGCCGCAUCACAUCGGCGUGUCCGUGAAGGAACUGGACCUGUACCUGGCCUACUUCGUCCACACUCCAGAAUCUGGACAAUCAGACAACUCAAACCAACAAGGAGAAGCAGAUAUCAAACCUCCGCCCAAUGGGCAUUUGAGUUUCCAGGACUGUUUCGUGACGUCAGGUGUGUGGAACGUGGCUGAGCUUGUCCGUGUGUCACAGACCCCAGUUGCUACAGCAACCGGACCCAACUUCUCUCUGGCCGACCUCGACAGUCCAGGAUAUUACAACAUCAACCUGGGUCGCCGCUCCAUCACGUCCACACCAUCGACUAGGACUGAGAUGGAGUUGUAUGCCAGUCUCCCGCGGAGCUCCAACAAGCGUAAAUCCAUUGAUGACAGUGAAAUGGAGAGCCCGGUGGAUGAUGUCUUCUAUUCAGGUCGUUCUCCAGCACCAGGAGCAUCUCAGCCCAGCGGCUGGCCUAAUGAUGUUGAUGCAGUGCAACACCAUUUGGCCAGUAUGCAGGAGAGGAAGAUAAAACAUGAAAAUGAUGGCGUGCAGUUUCCUUACCAUGGGCUCUCGUCGCCUGGUUCUCUUAAGAAGCCGGGGAAAUUCGAUUUCAGCACUCUGUCCGGCCAUACGAGGUCUGCCCGCAUGCCGUUCACCCAUCACCCGCUGCCCAUGCUGGCAGGUGUGAGACCAGCAGGAAGUCCCCGUGCCUCAGCUUCUUCCCUUCACUUCCCCUCGCCCUCCAUCAUUCAACAGUCCAGUCCGUAUUUCACUCACCCCACGAUCAGAUACCACCACCACCCAGGCCAGGACCCACUCAAGGAGUUUGUGCAGUUUGUGUGUGCCGACGGAUCAGGACAGGCUAGCGGCCAGCCGAACGGGAGCGGCCAGAGCAAAAUGCCGGGCUCCUUCUUACUGCCUCCACCCCCCCCUGUGGCGCGUCCAGUGCCCCUCCCAUUGCCAGACUCUAAAACCAGCAGCACGCCCCCCGAUGGCGGACUCACCUCACCCACCUCUCCGUCAUACUCCUCGCCAGGCUCCACAGCUCCCAACAGGUUUGUCAGCAUCGGAUCACGGGACAGCAACUUUCUGAACAUACCCCAGCAGACGCAGUCAUGGUUCCUUUGACGAGGUCCUGUCUGCAACAAGUCGACACCAUAUGAAAAAAAAAAACCCCAUCCGAUUUGAAAAUCCCCCCGAUGUUCUUCUGACAUCAAACAAACCCUAAUAAACCUUAGCAGAAUAUUACCGGGAAACGUUCAGUCCUGUAUUUCCCAAUCGUCAGACACCCUUCAACUCCACCCCACCUGCCUCUGUUAAAAACUUCAGGAUCACAGGGAUGUUUCUCUCAAGAAUCACCGGAAUGCAAAUGGCAACACUGAGGAAGAACAUGAUGAUCAGAGACAGAAAAUAUUACUAGGAACGAGGAUGUAGUGUACAAUGGCUGGGAUUAUCAACAGUAUCAGUGGUGAGGAUUCACAAACAACAAAAACGCAGGAUUUUUAGGAAGUAACUAACCCAUUUUUGUUUUUGUUUCCAACACACUUCAACAUGCUGAUUUUAAGCAUGGAGAAAACACUAAAAAUGUUAUUUCAUAUUCUAAAAACCUCCAAGCCCCACACGUUUAGCAUUUUUAAUCAGCAUUUGUCGCUUUGUUCCCUUUUUGCAUAUGCAGCCAAUUUAAGAUAAAUUACUAAGCUAAAAAUAUAUACAUGAAAUAAAACAUAGGUACUGCACUACAAAAAUGUCAAAGAACACUAGUUUGAUGUGCACUAUUAAAAAUGGGAUAGACGGCGAACAUAAUUUGCACAUUUAUUUCAGAGAAAAACGACACUGACAACACACUAAAGCUAGCCUGAAAGCCUCAGAGGGUAUUCUCGUUUUCAGACGCCCACCAUCAAAGGCACGAAUAGAAAUGGACUGAUCAAACAAAAGUCCAGUUCAGGCCCAUUCACCCACAGUGCCAACUAUACGUCACAAGUUUUUAGUUGGUACUCCUAUAGGACGAGUAAUGCCAACAACACACAUUUACAUCCAUACUGCACAUCCAAGCUACAAUUUUGAAAUCGUAUGUUUAUUUAAUCAUUUUUUUAAUUAAAGUUUGAAAACUUUACAUUUUCGGAAGAAAAACUAAAAUCUAUCAAAAUCCAGUUUUUUACACCCGCAGCUAAUCAUUACGUUAUUUCUCUUUUCAGUAAACCCACAUGUCCAAGCUACAAUUGCGGUUUGAUUACAAAAACAAAACUGAGAACAUUUUCUCAGGGGAAAAAAAAAAUAAAUAGUAUAAAAAUCUAUUUAUUACAGCCCAAUCAAAUCAUUCAGUUAUUUAAUUUUCCAAAUUUUUGAACUUUCUCUUUCAAUUGAAGCCACAUGCAGUGUUGGGUACAUUACUCAAAACUGGUAAUACACUACAAAUGACUUCUAUGAAAUGAUAAUCAGACUACUUUACUGAUUACUUCCUCAAAAAAGCAAUCAUUUUACUUUUAAAGGUGCACUCAGUAAUUGUUUGAAGGAUGUAGAAGUGGCUUAUACUGACACCUAGUGGCCUGGAUGCUGCACUUGUCGGGUUUUUAAUGUAGAGAGGCGAGGACCCAAUUGCAGGAGGCCAAAGUUUAUUUAAAAACGGCAAAAACAAAACGUUCGCAGAAAGGCAAAAAAAAAAACAGCUCCAGAACAGGAGGGCAGUCGACUGGCUGGGCUGGAGAAGGAAGCCUCAAGGCAUCAUGUAUUCCAACCAAACAAGACUAGAACCAGCAGGAAGCCAGAAUGAGGCCUUGUGAACAGGAAUCAACAGACAUGCAGAACAAGACACCUAAACAAGGACACAACCGCAACAAACUAGCACAGGACAGAGAACACAGGGAGAUUAAAUAGGGAAGCAAACAAGGAGGGUAACAAGGAGAGACAGGUGUAGCAGAUAAACUAAUAACAAGGCAAACGAGGGGCGGGGUUUCACUUAUGACAGCACAGACACGAGUGCACAUGGCAAAUGAAGAGCCAACAAAGCCAUGUGCACUCACACAACACUAGUGUCAGGAUCCAGCCACAAAACUAUAAACACAACCAACCGAAGUGGCAGGAUCCUGACACUAGAAACGCAAGACAGGCACAAACACAGAAACAGGCGACAGGAUCCCGACCCAACGAAAACUCAACUAGAGAGUCGGGAUCCUGACAGCAUCAUUCAAACACAGUAGUUUCCACUGUAGAAAUUCACUAUAGUAAGCCAGGAUGAACUUUUUCCAUGAAUAAAAGUGUCCAGUAACAGGGCAGUUUCUGAGAUUAAGCGAGUAGCAUUCGGCUGGUCAUGUGAUGCUUACAUGGCUGCCCCCAUGAGGCGCCCCUGCCCCUUGUAGAAUAAAAGAGCUUUUAUAAGGUUACUGAUAUGACUGAACUCACAUCAUCUCACAUGAGUGGUCAUGAUUAUAUACAUAUGUUUCAAAUUACUACUCAUUUCUUUGGAAGUAAAACUUUUUAAAUGAAUUACUGAGUGAACCUUUAAGUUACUUUCUAAAAAAAAACAUUUUUACUGAAUAGUUUUCGUUUUUACGAGCAACUCAAAAUAAGAAGUUGCGUUUCUCACUUAUAAUGACUCGUUAUGGGCCGCACACCUAUGUUUCAUGUUUUAAAUGUCUUCUAUAUAAAUAAUUUUAUUUUAAAAAUGUGUUACUCAAGUACUAUUACUUAAAAGCAAUUAACUUACUUAACAGGUACUGUAAUCUGAUUACAAGUAAUAAAAAUGUAAUGUGUUACACUACUUUUUUGACUAAAAAGUUCAUUAGAUUACAGUAACUGAUUGCUUUGUAAUCAGAUUACACCCAACACUGGCCACAUGUUCGAGCUACAACUUUUUUCGAAAAUAAACAAAUGUUUUCCCGGGAAAAAAAUUGGUAUCAAAAUCAAUAUCUUACAACCCCAGAUAGUCAUUUGAUUAUCUUCAAACGUUCUCUUUUUAUCACUGGCCUUUUUUAAAUUAAUUUCUUAAUUGUAGCGAUGCAAAAUACAAGUCAUUAGCGCUAAUAAAGAUGUCCCUAGAGACACGCCCACCUCUGUGUUUUGUAUACUUAUCUGUUUACGCUCCCAGAAGUCCACGUUCCAAGAACAAAGGAUGAAGCUACGGAGCAAAAGAAUGUGUGACAUAUCAUAGCCGUGCUCCGAGGGAGGUGGGCUGCUUUUAUUAGGCACUACUUUUUACUAUUCAGUUUAAUAGUAUCUUUCCAUACAUCUAAAUUUGGUAACGUUUCGGCAUGGCUGUCAUACACACACAUAUACACACAUUAUCCUCCAGAGAUUGACUACAAAGGGAAGCCUCAGUGGUAAUUUACUGUAGGGCAAUCUUCAAACCAUCAUAAGAUAGCUAUUAUGACUUUGCCACAGGUCAUAUCACAACAUUUUAUUUUCAAUGCAAAUGCAAUUAAUAACCUCACAAAAUAACUGGACUGCCUGACCAUGUAUUUCACUGCAGGGAAGCAUUGUUGCCGGAAAGGCGGCGACGCCAUCAGUUUGGUGUAAAGCUAAUGCAAGAAUCAUGAUGGCAAUGGUCUUUUCUUUUCUAAUCAAAGGAAGUGCCUCUGUAUUCCCAUUAUGCAAUUUAUUAAGCAUGAAUUCAGGUUAUUUUCUUGCAUAUAAGCUAUAGAGGAGGGUGAAAUUUUUAUGAGAGAGAAAAAAAAGUGUCAGCUCACUAGUUACAAACAUCUUUAUAUAUACAGGAUAUAUCCAUAUAUAUUUAUAUAUUCAUUUUUUUCUUUUUUUUUCUUGUUUGCCUAAUAAGCUCAGUGGCAGUCUAGUUAUUUUUUGAAGGAUGACAUGAUCAUGAGUUAUCAUAAAUCAGAUAUUCGUUCAGAAGUCCCGAAACCCAGUUCUGCACUUGAUAAUUAGAGCGAAAUUAGUCUUUAGCGGAAAUAUGAUUUCUGUUGAAAACCUUAUAGAUAGUGUAGGAAACAAAAGCACAGCUUUUGAUUUUUAUUUGGUGUUUGGACAGGAAAUAUUUGUUAUUGCGAAAUAAAGUGUGUUGAUUGAGCCAUGUGCAAUGCCUUGGGUAGAAACUGUGUUCGUCUGAUUGUUAGGGUGUACAGGAGCGCGUAGAAGUGAAAAAUCCUUCUAUUAUAGUAAAGUCCACGCUGUCCGGGACUCUAAAUUAAAGGGCGGAGAGCGUGCGAGAGAAAACGGUCUUUGUAAGUUUUGGGAAUUCGUUUUUUAAUCUUUACUUUUCUGCUUUUUUAAUGUUUAUUUGUAAUGAUUUGUUCUCAAAACUUAGGAGGGCUGAAGAAGCAGUUUUUUUUUUUUUUUUUGCAACACGUCAGAAUAUAUCACUAAUUAAAACAGGUGCUUUUUAUGGAUUAAAGUACAUUCAAUCUCUAUUAUACGUAUUAAAACAAGCGUAAGUGUUAUACUACAAAUUUUAGGAAAAAACGUUCAUUGCUCUUUUAUUCCCUUUUUGUAUUUACCAUGGGGGGAGCGGGUUCAUUUUGGUCAAGGUUGUGACAAAAGGCAUUUUUCCUCCAACUUUUUGCCGAUGAAAUCUUCAGUGUUGACAAACAACAUCCUAAGAGGUAGUCGCUGAGGUUUUACGAUUUUUAACUACCUGCACCAUUUUUUUCAACGUAUAUACAGUAAUGAUACAUCAUACUAUGCAUUCCAGUUUUGUAGAGCUUCCACGCAUUGGGUCGCCCAGUUUCACUGAAUCACGAACCAUCAUAGUUCUUAACGAACGUCAUGCACACAGCUGAAACUACGUAGAAAAUUUCAAAGUCAUCCGAAGUUAAUGACAAGAUCUUCCCUGUUUAUGGGAGAGGCUUUAAACAAGCAAAACUGCCCACUUUUUCAGCCGUCUGGGUUCCGGAAGUAUUUCCCCUAUUCAUUUCUUCCAUAGACAUUUAAUAAAAUCCUACAUAAAAGAGUUGUAAGCCAUGAACCAAACCAACCAGCUCCAAGGAGAAUCAAAACAUCAACGUUGUUUUGAGGCUAUAAAGACAAAGGUACAAGACUGUGUACUUAACAUCUUUCAUGAGGGCACAAACUACAAUCCCAUAAACAUUGCGAAUUAUGUCAUUGAAUAAAAAACGAUGGGAAUAUACAAAACUAUUGAUUUGAGGUUGUUGUUUAUAAGUAUAGUAACCAUAUAUUUUGCACUUAUUGCUAAGUAUUCCGAUAUAUACAGAUAUACAAGUAGUUUAAGGGUGAAGACACAGACUCGAUUACGUCAUUCACAGUGCAUUAUGGGAGCGCGCGGUCACUCAGAGGCACGUUCCGUGGGUUUCUUGGCCACGAUUCUCAGAUUGGUGGAUCUUUCUCUGCUGUACCAUGGGUAAUGUAGUUGUUUCCCAUGAUUUCCGCCAUCAAACACGAUUUUUAAAUAAUAACGUUGAAAUAACGCAGAUGGAUGGCUUCAGCGGAAGCAUAUUCACCAUUGAUGAACCUCAUAGCUCACAGUAGGUCUGUCUUUAAAGAUUUAUAUGUUAUCGUUGAAAAUCAGUUCAUCUAUGGGAGAAAAGAAUGGGAUUUUUACUUCCGGAACCAGACUGUUACGCUCUAUUGGCAUGGCCGUGAUUUGAAUUUUUGGUAACUACUAUAUUUUAACAGUAGAUGUAAUUGAGAAUCGGUGAAUUUCAAGAAAAUUUGUUAUAUUCCAAAAUAAAUAAGAAAUUGUAUUUUGUGUAAAAAAAAUAAAUAAAAAAAAAAAUAAAAAAAUUAAGCCUAUUUUAGGACCACUUUUAUUUUAGGUUGACAAUAAAUAUUCUCAGUAAAAUAAAAUAAUAAUAAAAAAAUUGCACUACAGUAAUGAAAAUUGGGGAAUGUGCUUAAUUGGGAAAAAAGUCUUCAUAGUCCUAAAAUAGCUUUUAUUUUCUUUAUGCAAAAUAUUACAUCUUUUUUUUUUUUUUUUAGGCUAAAUAUGACCCAGACUCCCAUCUCAUGGCAAACAAAGUCGGCAACCAAUCAGAAAUGUACAAAUUGAACCCCUCCCCCUGCGAAUCCACAGCGCCCGCUACUUACCCCCCAUCGCCCCCCCCCACUCCAUCCCCCCCCCCCACCCACCCCAUGUAAAUGACUCUAAGUACUUGUUUUGUAAUUUAGUGUUAGACUCAGAGCAUCAUUAAGGUUGUCCCUAAAAAGUGCCUUUUGUUCACAGACUUCAUCUUGUAAUCUUGAGCGCCCAUCUAAAAAAAAAAAAAAAUGCAAAAAAAAAUCCCCUCCUUCAAACUUCUGUAUCUUCUUCUUCUGCAAGUUCUUCAAAGCAGUAUAUAUAGUACUAAAAGAAAUCGGUGUGACUUAGUUUCUCUUUUUAUUGUUGAAUAAUUAAGAAAACUGUAAAAAAAAAUUAAAAAAAUCUGUCUUGCUUUUCCUUCCUCUGUAAUCUUAUCUUGUGCCUCUUUUGGACACUGGAGUAGUCUAUAGUUGCAUAACCAUGUCCCUUUUCUCCGAACGGAGGGGUUUUAAAAUAAAAAAAGAUUAAGAAAAAAGUGUCGUUUGAGCAGAAUGCAGUUAGCUCAUGUUAUUCUUGUCUGUACGCUUCAUGUUGUACUCAUACCGAUUUCUUCAGCUUCUCCAUUGAACAGUUAAUGUAUGUGAACAAGUUACGCCAGUGAGCUCUGGCGGGCGGUCCGACGGAAGGGUGUUUGCCGGAGAAACACUUUUUAGCUGGAAGUUACUAAACUGGUUGAUGCCGACUGCUGGGGUAGAAUAGGCAAGUUUGCGAUUCUUUAAAAUAAAAAUAUUAUUUAUUUUUUUAUUUUGUUACCAAAUUGAAUUUGAUUUGCUAUGAUUUGUUUGUAUUGAUAUUGCAUUGAGAAUCUGUAUCGAUGAUGCACCUUUUUUAAAUGGUUGUACGAGACCAGGUAUUUAAACUGUUGUUAAAAAGUUCCUGUAAAAACAAAGCACCUUACAACGGAAUGGUUUCAGCAAAGGGAAUGUGACAGACAGUUUCAGUACAACAUAAAACAGUACAGAAAUCACAACUUCAAGCCCAGAGUUACGAGCCAAACCCUUAGACCAAAGUGCAAAGAUGCAUGCCACAAAAAUUAACUUGAAAACUCACCAGCAAAGCCAACAUGUGCUCAACGAUGACAGCGUGCUUCUUCCAGCAAACAAAAUUAUGCAAAAUAUCUCACAUUUUUGAGUCAAUAAAGCCAGUAUCCAUGCUGGUUAUUAUUAUUAUUAAUGAUAAGUGAAAGCCAUAGCGACGUGUUUGGCACUUUCAGAGAAUAUUGUCACUCCCUGGUACUGACCGUCCUUUUUCCUUUUUCAUAUUUACUACUUUGUACUCUUUUGUUAUGUGGGGCAUUUGGAUGUUUAGAAUAGCAUGAACCCUCAGCAGUUUUGGUCCUGGUUUAAACUCCACGAGCAGCAUCCUUGUCGGUUCACGUGCCCUCCAGAGCUCAUGGUGAAAUGCAUGUGUUGAUUACAAUUUCUUUUCCAUAAUAAGAAAAACAGUUUAAAAAGAGCAGCGCCUUUAACUGAUUGAAUAAAAGGAUGUUCUUGACUGUAACAAAGACUUGUGUGGUUAUUUUGAUCUUGGAGUUCUAUAGUUCAGUUAACUUUAAUGUCAAAAUUACUUCAUGGCAAUUUUGUACUAUACAUUAGGACCACAGAGCAUCUAUAUAAAUAUAUCAGAGGCACUUCUGUUGGCUCUGCGCCCGUAGAAGUGCUUCACGGAAAUCAAGGUCAUGUUGUUGUGUCAAGUGACUCAGUGUGUCAGAAGUUUAACCCUUAAAUGACAGUCUAGGGCAGGGGUUCUCAACGGGGCGGUACUGCCCACCAGGGGGCGUUCAAAGGAUGCCAGGGGUGCUGAGAGAAAAUGAGUUGAGAGGGGGGCAUUAGGUCACAAAUGGGUGGUGUUUAUCAGUCAUAUUAAUUAAAUCUAUCGUCAAGUUCCUUGUUGCUUAAACAUUUAUUUAGACUUGGAACAUACAAGUUCUCCAUUAUACGCAUUUGUACCGCGGUCAUCCUAAGUAUUAAUGAUGUCAAAUAGACAGGUGAAGUCACAACCUCCGCUAAUGCACCUGUAUGGCUCUGUAGGUGGAUACGGCUCAAUGGACAGAGCAGCGCGAGCGCAGAGCAGGUGCGUUUUUAUUCGCAGAACAGUCUCGAUCUUUCAAACGCGCACCUCUGAUCGUUACAGCACUGUGAGAACCACGGCGCAAGAUGCGUAAACCAUUUGCAUUCGGCACAGAAUUCUCUGGUGCAAACCUCUAUGAAAACCCACAGUGAGUAAACUAGUUUAAAACCACAUUAAACGGCCCGACAGUCUAAAUAGGAUUCACAAGAUGAACAAGAGAAAACACUGUGACAUGCACAAAGUCUUUUCACAUAUGAUCAUAUCACUUCAGCUCUAUAAUAUGCUACAUUAGGGGCGUGAGGAAUAUAAUACAUGUUUUACUACUUAUAAAUGUUUAUAUUUUGUAAUAAUUGUUUUUAAAUGUGUUUAGAGUAGGCCUACUGUUUAAAAUGACAAAAAUGCCAUAGUUUGUUUUAUAGAAAUCAUGUUACAUCUAAUCACAGUAGUGAACAUCCAUGCUUCCGUGUGUUUACUAUGGUCUUAUUACAAAUACCACUGUUAAAACUAUAAAAACAUAUAUAUAUAAAAAAAAUGAUACAUUUUCAUAAGGGCAAAAUGAACUCAAUUUUUUAACGAUGAAACAGAAAUGCCUAAAUCCUAAAAACAAAUUGCUCCUUUUUUUUUUUUUUUUUAAUGAAAGAAAUUAUAACUGGUUUUGUUUGCCUUCAGACAUUCCAAGAGAUGACUGAAUUUAAUCACUAUAAAGCUGAUGAAAGGAGAGUUACAGCUGUCAGAAUAAAUUAGCUACAUAACGUUUCAUUGAUGUCAUAGAUAACCUCACUGUUGUUAAUAUCAGUACAUUUACAUCUGCAUCCAACUCAAAACGAAUGCCGUACUGUAGAAUGAGCAUUUCAGUGGGACAAAGUAUGCAAUAUUAUUGGUCAUUUCACUUAUUUUUGAAAUACACAGCAAAAAUUGGAGUGUUGAAAUUUCAGGGUUAAACAUCUCUGAGUUGAUUUCCACUCCCAAAGUGUAAUUUUAACACAUUCUGAUUUAAAUGGUGUUCAAUGUUGGAGUUAUUUGACAGAGUUGAUCACAUCAGAGAUGUAAUUAAGCUCCGCCCACACAUUUCACUCUUUCGGUUGGAGACAAGGAGACAAGUUGGAGCCAUUUUUCCUCCUCUCAUGAAGUUCUACACGGUGAGUGCAAUUAAGUCAAACUUACUGAAACAAUUAUAAAUUGAUGCUGUGAACUGCAGUAUGUACAAUGAAACAUCUACGGAAAAUAUAUGCUUUAAAAAAGCCUUGUUUGUUGCCAGGACUGAGCAGCAAAUUUGUACAGGUGAUAACAAAUAUUCUUUUUAAUUGUGCCAAAUAACUGAAUGGCCAUUGCAUAAAUUUAGAUGACUUAUUUAAUAUCUCCUCUCAGGCACCUUCCCACUAAAGCAAUCAGAGAAGGGUAUGCUCUUGGAAUAGUGAUCCAUAUUCCAAGAAAGGCUACGUAAUAGUCAUUAUUAUUAUCUGCAUGACACUUUCAUGUCAUACUUGCAUGUUGUGGUACAAAGCUGUGUGCAUGACAUUGACAUUUGAAUUCUCUGAGAUUUCUUAUGAGCCGAGUAUCACAACGCAUUUAUUUAUUUUUCUUUUAUUUCUUUUUUCAUUUCAGGAACACUUCUAUGAUGCUGCAAGCAGCACAGGAUACAUUUCUUGGCAUCUGAAAACAGUCCAAAGGAUGAUUCGUCGAGGAUCUGCACUGCCACCAAAUGGCUCUAUUGACUUUUCUCUAGGAGGCCCAAAUUUCCAAAGGACUGUUAAUGUUGAAAGGCAGCUUGAUGGGGAUGCUUGCCAAGAGGCCAUGUCUUUGCUCAACCAUACCACAGGCAAUUCCUUGAUUUUCCAGAAGAUGAGAGACCUUUCAGCACCGUCAGAAGCUUGUUAAUGACCCAGGCAGAAGUGUUCAUAUCCUCUCCAGCUUCCCAAAAUUCCUGGAUACUAAAGGAUUGGUAAGUUUGGAUUGAGACGUUUGGAAUGGCUUGAAAAUUGAAUGUAUUUCCUGUAGAAAUGGUGGAUCAAGACUUCACUCUCCCAUUUGAUGAAGAGACAUCCUCCAGGCUGCUUCAGAAAUGGGAUGUGUCCUUCAAGCCAAAUGUCAUAAAAGAGGCUAAGCAGCUCACUUCAACACCAGAGUUGCGACGCUUGGUGUGGUAAGCCGGGAAGUGAUCUUGAUGAGGCAACAAGUGAGUUGCAUUUGUUUCGCUUGUUUUAAAGCAUUUGCUAUAAUUGAAGUUACAGUUGCUUCAUUCAUUAUUUUCAUGACUAUAUGAUUAAAGUUAGGAAAUGAAAGCACCUGUGAGAUAGUCUUUUACUAGAUUGAAUUUGUUUAUUGUAUCUCUGAAAGCUGAGGAUAAAUAUGAACAAUAGAUGUCUCAUAAUGCCUCCCUGUUCUCAUUCAGACUUGAAAAGUAUUACAUUUUAAGAGUUUUCAGUUAAUUUUUGUGACUCUUUGUCUCCUUCCACCACCAUCGGGGGACUGAAGUCUCCAAGAAUUAGUGCGUGUGAUGCAGUUAAGUCAUGCUGCAGUUUGGAGGAGCAUCUCUGCCACCAGCAGGGUCAGCAGCCGUACCUCCUCACUGUUGGGCGUCAGAAGAGCAAGACUGACAGCUUCUACAUCACCAUGGAUAAGCGUCUCAUCCCAUUCCAGACAAACUGCUUCCUCAGGGCAUUUGAUGAACUUUUCAAGGCACAUUAAACAUGCGUUUAAUUUGUCUUAUGAUGUUGCAUUCAAAGCAUGAUAUUCAAAGCUCAUACAACAUUUCAGAUGAAAGUUUGUACAUUAUACCUUCAUUCACAAUGUUUUAAUUCAACUGUAUGAAUGACUGCAAGGGUGAAAAGGCAAAAAUAAAUGUUAUUUUUGAAAAUUA